rnacentral:rRNA from 1 species
UACAGAGACUGCAAGCGUUAUUCGGAUUCACUGGGCGUAAAGGGUGCGCAGGCGGCCAAGUGUGUGAGGCGUGAAAGCCUGGGGCUUAACCCCAGAAUUGCACCUCAAACUACUUGGCUAGAGCAUUGGAGAGGGUAGCAGAAUUCAUGGUGUAGCAGUGAAAAUGCGUAGAUAUCAUGAGGAAUACCAGAGGCGAAGGCGGCUACCUGGACAAUUGCUGACGCUCAGGCACGAAAGCGUGGGGGAGCAAAAAGGG